CCAAUCUUCAUCCAGCGUCUCUUCCUCCUGGUCCCGGGUUUUGUCAGUCCUUUUUAUCUCAUCAAUCUAGCGCAUUAACCUGGUAAUCAUAUAUCCGAGGCCCUUAAGUCCCUUCCAUGUCCCUUCCACGGCUCUUCUUCAUAUUUAUAACUGUAUUUUCCUUUGUCUCCUGCUCCUUUCACUCGUGGGAGCUCCAGCUUAGCAAUGUUUUUGACCCUUCUCGACAAAUCAGCCACUUUUCCAUAGUCCACACUAAACUCCAUGUGGUAUUUAAGAACAUGUUUCAAAGUCUCUCCAAAAUUAAGAGCCCUCACAACCCCAAACAUCUCACGGCCCAUUGCCAGACUUGAAAAGUCCAAACAUCCCUGCAUAGGGGGGUCUAUCCAACCCCCCAUUUCCAAACCAAACCAAACUUUAUCUUUCCAAAUCUGGCUUUUUCCAAGUUCAUUUGUCAAAUCCAAGAGCUCAUGUUCCUGCUGGGCCACAGCUCCCUCCAUCUCUGGCGCCCAAGAUUCAGCAACAUCCUCUUCCCUCAUCUGUUCUGUCAGGGCACAUUCCUGAUUUAAUUCCUGAGUGGGCUCCAUAUAAUUUCCCACUGCCUGUUCAAAAUUUUUGAUUGCAUCAGUCAUCAAGUCCGUCUUCUCAUGUAGCUGUUCCAGUAGGGCACUUCUUUUACAGAGAGCACACAGCAGAGCUUCUGAGUACAUUGUCCUGCAAGGUCCGAAGUCUAUUCCCACGAUCGUAAUCUGUAACAGCUGCAAGCUCCCCGAUUCAGAAUUAGUUACAGUUUCACAGGCUCCCUAUAGGGGAAAAACUUCUAUUUGUUCUUUUCUUUUAAAGACAAAUCUAACAACAAACUUUCCUUUUUCAGAUAUUUUGUCAAUAUUUGUUCCUUUAAAAUGCGAAGGGGAACAAUGGAAUCACUAUGUUUCUCUUCUUUUAGCUAUCUGUCAGAAACGUUUGUCUCUGGUCAAUGAGCUUCAAAAAACAUCAGUCCUGACACCCCGCUCCAGGAUCAAGACAGUGGAAAGUUACUUUACUUUACACUCACUUCUGCAGGUUUAAACAGUCCAGAAAAAAUCCCCCCUCUUCUCCUGCUUCCGAAGGGGGUUCAACAAUCUUAAAUGAUGAAAGUUAGUCCUUUACAAGCGAUUUUCUGAGCUCUAGUUUGCCAUGUCUUUGCUUUAAUCUAUCUUCAAAGAAACGGAAGGCUGACUUCCUGUUUAGACCUUCCCGUUUCAGUGCCAAAUUGAAAUAAACUUUUAAGUCCAAUUUUCCUUUCUGCACGCAAGUCCUUAUUUAGAGUCCAAUUGUCCGAAAUUUAAGUACUCACGGGUGAUUGUUUUAGAAGCCAAAUUGUCCCAGGAAAAAGGCAGCGCUCUCCGGCAACGGCUGUGUGGCUUCGCUCCACGGAAGAAGCAGUUGACUCUCAGCACCGCACCACUUCCCCCUCUUCGCUCCGGAGCCCGUUAGUGGGUUCCUUUGCGGGUUGGGGGGGCGCUAAAGGUGCCCGCCAAGUCCCAUGGUCACAGGCUUCAUCAGCCUGUGAUUUUUGAAAGGGUCCCCGCUUCGCCGUAGCGGGAAAGACCCGUUUCCCGUGGAGCUGGUCCCUCCAAAUCAGAGGGAAUCCGCCAUUACCGAUGGCGCCACCCUGGAAGUCCCUGCCUGGCAAUCCAAAGGCAUAAAUGAAACUUUCGAGUUUGCAUCAGUUGAGAGCGUCGUCAGGUUGGAAUCCGCACAAGAAACGGAAGUGGAGAGGUUCCUGGUAAACUGGGCACGUCCAUUUUAAAAAAAGAAGCCCAAGAGGCCCAGUGGUUUAGACCACAGUGCCUCUCGCUCCCUUUACCUGCCAAUCAGUAUACACAGUGAACAGGUAAACAGAGCAGUGAUCUGAUUCAGGAUAAAACAGCUUCCUAAACUCAGAAGGCCUUUUUGUGUGUACCUAAUUUAGUUGCAUUUCCUAAUGCAAUUAUCUCAUUAAUGCACAUGACUAAAUUAGGACCUGUUGCCUUUGUCCAUGGAGUUUUCUUGGCAGGGAUACUGGAGUGGCUUGCCGGUUCCUCCUCCAGCAAUGACAAACCUAGACAGCAUCUUAAAAAGUAGAGACAUCACCUUGCCAACAAAGGUCCGUAUAGUUAAAGCUAUGAUUUUCCCAGUAGUGAUGUAUGGAAGUGAGAGCUGGACCAUAAAGAAGGCUGAUCGCCGAAGAAUUGAUGCUUUUGAAUUAUGGUGCUGGAGGAGACUCUUGAGAGUACCAUGGACUGCAAGAAGAUCAAACCUAUCCAUUCUGAAGGAAAUCAGCCCUGAGUGCUCACUGGAAGGACAGAUCCUGAAGCUGAGGCUCCAAGACUUUGGCCACCUCAUGAGAAGAGAAGACUCCCUGGAAAAGACCCUGAUGUUGGGAAAGAUGGAGGGCACAAGGAGAAGGGGACGACAGAGGGCGGAUGGUUGGAUAGUGUUCUCGAAGCUACCAGCAUGAGUUUGACCAAACUGUGGGAGGCAGUGGAAGACAGGGGUGCCUGGCGUGCUCUGGUCCAUGGGGUCACGAAGAGUCGGACAUGACUAAACGACUAAACAACAACAACAAAUUAGGACCAUGAAUUUCAGUGGGUUUACUCUGAGUAAAACCAUUCUUCUCCUCAUAUACUCUUGUAUAUAUGCCCGUUUCCACUGUUCUGGUUAGAAUCUGAUAGUUGUGAGCAUUUCCCCACUAAGAAGGCAUUUUAUAUAGAUUUCUAUGGAAUAGUCAGUUCCAAAACGAACACGGCUAUUUAUGACAACCAGAUCGUAAGCAUUUCUUACCACCUACAGCUUUAAUCUGUUUAUUAUACAUGCUGUGCUUUUUCGUGUUAAUAGGGAGAGUGAGCAUCGCUGCGGCUAAUAGUCAACUCAGUUGGUGAGUGUUAACAGCACUGCAGCCAACAUGAGGCCAGUGGAAAACAAGGAGAUGUUUGCGUACUCAGAGGAAGCUUAGUUUGCAGAAGUACAAGAGGUAGUUAAACAUCUCAAAAUAGUACAAAAAAGCGGAAACCCAGCCAGAUGGGUGGGGUAAUAAUAAUAAUAAUAAUAAUAGUUGUUGUUGUUAUCCAAUGCUCAGUAGCCAUGGAAUAUUGAAUGUGAAUUGGAAAAGAAAAUGUAUGUUGUGUUGGGGAAAAGAAAACAACUGGAAUGCCUUGCUUCAGCCCCUACAGGUUAUAUUAUCCUGAGGGGUAAGGAUGGGAAAAUCUGUCAAUUUUGGUUCUCUCAGCUUUUCUCCAACCUCAGAUUCAGUCCUCUACAUUUCUGCAGCAAUUUGCAAUUUUUAAAAACAAUCCUUAUAAAAUUCUUCAAUGUUUUAGAGUGAAUUUCUUCUCAUAAACACAUUUAUAUUUAUGUGUGUGUGUGUGUGUGUGUGUGUGUGUGUGUGUGUGUGUUUAUGAGAAGAAAUUCUGCUUUUCUGUAUGUUAUUUUCACAAAUACAUAUUUGGUUUUUAGGCACACUUUCUCCUAAAACAUGCAUUUUUGCGAACACUGGCUGGAGAAUUCUGCACCAGAAAAUUCAGAGAAGUGCAAAUUUCGAAGCCUGGCUGCGUUUUAGUUCGCAUAUUGUUUCGGAAAGCACAAAUCUGAUGGAUUCAGCUUUAAAUGCACACUGAAUCACAUCUCUCCCCCUAAGGAGGAUAUAGUUGGCUAGCUUAAACCCAGAAUGAGCACCCAUGUUGUCGGGUGAUGAUACACGCCAUUAUUUCGUUGCAGGUCCAGCUUGUCAAAUACUAAGUACUCACAAUCACAAAACCUAUGUACUUUUGUAGGUCUGAUCCUGCCCAACAGAGGGUGUCCUUACACGUAUUUUCUUUCCUUGGUGUAUAUAAAAAGAGCAGGCACACUGACCGCAUUCUUGUUCCUAAUCCUCAUCCAGGAUAAGAUUCCUGGGAAACUGAUUUUGCCAGUGUGCUGCAGGAGUUGUUUUGUUUGCCCAGUGCUGAUUGGCUGGUAGUUGUGAUGUCACAAUCCCCAUUGUUCCCACAAACAACCUGCAAGCUAUUUUGAAGGAAUUCAUUCCUGUGUGUGCUUUAAAAAGAGAAAGAACGAACUUUCCCUUGCUUGAACGUACAAAUAUACUUUCGGCUUGAAGCUUGAAGCAUUGGGGGGGGGGCAGCAAAGCACAUUGUUGAUGUUUGAUGCUUUAUUAUUUUUAUGUGUGUUGGAAGCUGCCCAGAGUGGCUGCGGCAACCCAGCCAGAUGGGCGGGGUGCAAAUAAAAAUAUAUUAUUAUAUAUAUUAUUAUUAUUAUUUCAGAAAGGAUUGUCUCCCAGCCCGACGUGGAAAUGUCAAGAAUUCGAAUCUGGGACCAUCUUCGUGAAAAGUAGGUGCUCUUCAACGAAGCAGUGGUCCUUUCUCAAAGUCAGAAACCUUCCUAAGGGGAAACGCUCAAUAAUGUUGGGAGCUGGGAGAUGCCAAACCCCUUUAAUCCCUGGAUCCAGCAAGUGUUAAAAGAUAAGCCUGCUAAUUCUGGGAAAUAGUCAAGCUAGGCUUUGGGGGGGGGGGGUUAUUAGGUUGUUUUUGUUUUGAUUAUGUAUUUUGUGUUUUUUACGCUGUGAUUUUUAUCCUGUGAAUUGCCUUGAGAUCUGCGGGUAUAGGGUAGUAUACAAAUGUUAAUAAUUUUAAUAAUAAUAAUAAUAAUAAUAAUAGACUGAAGAAAUGCACUUCUGCUUUUAAGAGGG
rnacentral:lncRNA from 1 species